rnacentral:rRNA from 1 species
UACGUAGGGGCCUAGCGUUGUCCGGAUUUAUUGGGCGUAAAGAGCUCGUAGGCGGUCUGUCGCGUCGGUCGUGAAAACUUGGGGCUUAACCCUGAGCUUGCGGUCGAUACGGGCAUGACUGGAGUUCGGUAGGGGAGACUGGAAUUCCUGGUGUAGCGGUGAAAUGCGCAGAUAUCAGGAGGAACACCGGUGGCGAAGGCGGGUCUCUGGGCCGAUACUGACGCUGAGGAGCGAAAGCGUGGGGAGCGAACAGG